GUGGAGCCGAGGCCAGAAUUCAGUUUGAAUC
rnacentral:piRNA from 3 species